rnacentral:lncRNA from 1 species
ACGUGAGCUCUUCCGAACAGUUCUUCAUAGGUGGCGUCUGAAAGGGUUAAAAGAGAUCAAUAACUUCAUACUCUGAGGCAUGUCUCAUCACCCUGCAAUCAUUAACAAAAUAAGAAUAGCUUUUGUUGCCGUCCGCUGUGUUAAACCAACAAACCCAGGUGGUCACGGCUUAGCCAAAUUUAUUGUGCUUUCAUGCUAUAAAUCACCAGAAUAAACUACUGAUUGAAGUUGUACAAGCUAUGUGUCACACAGAUUUUGUUUACAGUGAAUUAUCUGCAGAUAAUGUUAUGGCUGAAUAUUUCUGUAUAUUGUGUGCAUCCACUACCAUAUCCAACAGUGUAUCUGUGUGUAUUUUGUGUUUGUUAUCACUUGGAUGCUACAUAUUUCUUUUUUAAAGUGGUCAGUAACAUUUAGACCAUGUAUUAUGUUCCGCAAGCAACGUUUCGAUUCGUAACACUGCGAUUCCAAGCACUGUUUCACUUUGUGCAGUACAAAUGUUGUUAUUAUUGCUGGAACCCUCUUUCUGCAGUGCCCUCGGGUGAAAUGUAGCCACCGAAUGAAGAAAUAAAUAAAUAAAUAGCGCAUGAGUAACGUGGCUUCAUAACAUGCACUAUAUUGCAUUUGUACUAAUUAAGUGAAGCACAUGUAGACAGUUGUGCUAGUUUGGAUGGCACAGAGGGACCGACUAAUUCUCCUUGAGGACAUAUGCAUAG